rnacentral:lncRNA from 1 species
AGAGUGGCAGGUGGUUGGUGGAAGAACAGAUGGACUCAGUUGUUUCCCAUAGAUUUAGCCUUUUCCCCAACCUGUUGGAUCUGGACAUAGUAAGUUUGUUCCUUAGGUUUUCCGUUUGGACCUUUUGGCAUUUGGCAUGUACUUAUUAUUGUAUUUAUAUUACUGGUUUAGAUUUUAGUUUUUGCCUGUAUGUUCAUUUUCAUGAAAUCAUUUCAACUGAGUUUCCUUUUUUCAAAGUUAUUUAACUGUCCUGUUUGGCAUUUGAUCUUGAUUAUUUUACACCUUUGGUGCAUGUAUUAACUGUACAUGAUGAAGAAGUGAUCAUGAAUUCACAGCUUUGCCUACACUUCAUUUUGAUCAUAUUUAUCUAUUCUGUUUAAUUUCUCCACCCAUUAAAUUUGGCAAGUACAUCCCAUUAUAAAAGGUCCAAUGCCUCUGCCCAUUCAUGACCUGUAGGAAACAAAGUAUUAUACGUGGAUUUGUGGAACUUAGAUGUUUGAAGUCAUGCUUCUCUAGUUCUUCCCAUGCCUCUUCCUCCAGAGUACUGGGAUUACACAUGCCUACUGCCCUGCCCAGCUUCAAAUAGUGUAUAUCAUCAAUCAAUUCUAAUAAUUCAGUGGAGACUUGAAGCAGUUGUGAGCAGUUUUCAUUUUGGCAGAGACAGGAAUAGAACUUAAGGCUAUUCCAUCCAUGGUUUCUUAGAACCAAGGAGACUCAGAUCUAACCCACAGAAUAGAAGUCUCUGAUCGAUCACAAGUGAAUGGCAACCUGAAGGUAGGCAUUCUGUCUAGAAUACUUCUGUGGACAGAAGCCAGUAGACAAGGGGUUGUGUGCCCUCGCUGACACAUUCUUGGAAAUAUGGCACAGCGCUUGAUUCUCUAACCCUGGCUGCGAAGCAGACUUGGUUCACAUGAGACCUAUGCUACAUGACAGAGGAUGAGAUCUGGGAUAGAGACUACUUGCAGGGAUUAUUUUCCCUCUGGAGGGGACACAGAAAAGAUUCUGCCUUGACUUCUAGGCAACACAGGUAGGGUGGACAUGGGUAAGAGCCCUCUGUGCUAAGAGUGUGCAUUCUGGUUACUAUUCUCUCUCUUUCUCUCUCUCUCUCUCUCUCUCUCUCUCUCAAUGUGUGUGUGUGUGUGUGUGUGUGUGUGUGUGUGCACGCGCACACACAUAAAAAGCACAUAAACAUGAAAUCUUAAGGGAAUAGGGGCAUAGCUGGCUUAUGAUUGGAGUAAUAAGGUCCCAUGAAGGUGGGAUAAAGUCGUGACAGUUAGCUGGAAUCUUGAGGGCAAAGGCACACACCUAAAAUCAUCACAUC